rnacentral:tRNA from 1 species
GGGUGCGUAGCUCACAGCGGGAGAGCAUCGCCUUCACACGGCGGGGGUCACAGGUUCAAUCCCUGUCGCACCCACCA